CAGGCCAUAGCUCAUGUUGUCUUGUGGCGAGGGUCUGGUGAUAAGGCAGUGUGGUCACUACUGGCUGAGCUCUGGAGGAGGGAGGAGGGAGAUAUGGAGGUACCCAGAGGAACCAUCGGCACUCUAGCAGGAGGCAAAGUAGAAACAGAUCAGUGCUCUUGAUUUAUCUGGCAGGAGCAAUGUGGCUAUAGGGUGAGCAGAGAUACACACGCACAAGCUGACAUUUCUACCAACCAGGGCUCAAUGUCACUACAUUCUGUGGCCGUCAUGUUUCCAUUGCAACAACUCCAAUGAAGCUGCUGGCUGAGAACAUUGUCCCCACCUCUCCUCGUCAUAUGACUGAGCACACGGCUCAUAUGUCGUGAUGAUUGGAGAACUAACUCAUUUUUAAUCACCAUGGACUCAACUGUUUCUGUUGUAUGUGUGUAUUUUAUUGUGUGAAUAAUAUAAAGA